AGCAAGUGGCGCACUGUUGUGUGUUCUUGUUGUGGAAUGUUGGCUGUGGUCACCGUUUGUGGUGGGGCACGUUGUUGGGGUUCUGGGGUAUCACGCCGGCUGGUGUGGUUUCCUGGAUGUGCGAACGCCGUGGCUGCAUGCGUUGGUGUGUGUGGUGGGUGUCUCGUGUGGUGGUUGAGAACUGCAUAGUGGAUGCGAGCAUUUUUGUUUUGUGAUUUUGUUGUUUGNUGUG
rnacentral:misc_RNA from 1 species